GUUUUUUUUUAAUAAGAUUUAUUCUAGUGAAAAAUUCGGUUGCAUUAAUUUUAAAAGUUAUGUUAUUUUAAGUCUUUCCUUUUUCGAUUACCAUAAUCGAUCAUCUUAAUGAUGAAGGCUAUAAAAUUACUCGAAAAAUGAAUUUCUUAACUUGACGAUUCUGACUUAAGGACGGAAGAUUGUAAUAAGGGUGGGUUUUUUUUUUUUAUACAUUUUUAGAAAGGUAUUUAAAAGAGCCCAAAAGUUUAAAGAUCUAACAACCCUAUCAAGAGUUAUAAGCACUUAAGUGUUAUUCAUACACUUUUUUAGGCCAGAUCUCAGAUAUUUUGAUGAAAACGAUGUUCGGGUCAUUAUUCGACCCAUUGUUGAAUGGGUUAUCAAAACACUUUUCCAACCAGCCUAAAAGUUUGAAAAUUUGACAACCCUAUCAAAAUUUAUGAUUGCUUAUGUUAAUUAUACCCUUUUUUGAAGCCGGAUCUCACACAUGAAAAUGAUGAUAAAAAAAAAAUCUAUACAAGUCUCCAUACAAUUUCGGGGGCUGGUGAUACAAAAUGAGUACGUAAAUGUAUGAAGUUCUGGAUCUUGAGAAGGUAUUUUUGAUCGAUUUGGUGUCUACGGUAAAGUUGUAGGUUAUGAUUAGGACUUCCCGGAAAAAUAUGGACACGAAAACAAACGGAUUUUUUUAAUAAACUUUUUAAACAAUAAGUGAAAUUUCCAAAAUCAAAAUUUGAAAAAGAAGAAAAGCUGAGAUAUUUUCUCUCAGGAAUUUAGAAAAUCAAUUUCUCAGCUUUUCAGAAAUAUUUUUUCAGGGGUGCAUUUUCUUAAAAGAAGAAUUCGAUAUUUUUCAAAAACUCAUAUCUUCUAAACCAGAUUUUUCACCAUCACGCGCUAUGGCUCAAAAGAUGGUGUUUUAGUUCCCUAAAACACAUCGAAUUUUUUCAAAAAGUUAAAAAAAUACAAAUUUGCGGAAUUUACAUACUUUACAUAAUUUACAUGCCCAUACUGUAUAACCAACCUUCAAAAUGGUAUGGAGACUUGUAUGGAAAAACUGAUGAUGCAAAAUUCCUACUUUGGAAAUAGACAAUGUAUGGACAAAGUUUCAUCCAAAUCAAAAAAGUAAUAACAAAUCCCAAUUUGCGAAAUCUUAGAGAACCACUCAAAUGCUUAAAUGAGCAAUUCUCUACGAAAUCGACCAUUUUUUUUUUAUUUGCCUCAAACUUUGCGGGGGCCAUUUUGUGUCAUUGGUUCACCCAUAUAAAUCUCCAUACAAUUUUGGCAGCUGUUCAUACAAAAAUGGUACUUCAAUAUUCGAAAAUCUGUUACUUCUCAAGGAUUUUUUUUGAUUGACCGAAGACCUCAAAAAGUUUUAGUUAUUGAUGAGGACUAUUCAGAAAAAAUAGGUACAUGGAAAAAAAAAUGGUGUUUUUUUUUAUUACCUUAAAGUACGGUAAUAAAAAAAAACAAUCUUUUACUUAAAAUUUAUUGACCUAAUUUUUUUAAUGUUAAAUCGAAUUGGUAAUUGAAAAGUGCAUUACAAUUUUUUGAUUAAGUGCACCGUUUUCAAAAUAUAUCCAUCAAAAGUUAAAUUUUGUCCGAAAAAUUCAGGUUUUUUAUAUUUUUUAAAAUAGUGUCCAUGAUUGUCCAUUCUUGAAAUAUUCCUGAAUCAACACUAAAAUUUCAAAAGGGCCGGCCAAAAUUAAACUUUUAAUGGCUUUGUGUUGCAAAUGGCACACUUAUUAAAAAAAACGUAAAAUUCUUUUCGAUUGCAAAUUCUAUUUUAUAUAAAAGAAAUGACGUCAAAAAACAUAUUGUACGAAAUUUAUUUUUUUUACAAAAACUGCAAAAAAAAUACUAAACUCGUCGGCAAAAAUUUGGUUCAUUCUUCUGAUUGGCUUAAAAGAUGCGGGGGUUUGUCCCCUAAAACAUAUAUAUAAUUUCAAAUAUUAAAAAAAACACGGAUUUUGGGAAAUUGAUUUUUUGUGAAAAAAGGUUAGUUAAAAAAUCACCAAAAAUUUUACCGUGUACCUAUUUUUUCUGAAUAGUCCUCAUCAAUACCUACAACUUUGCCCAAGAAACCAAAUCAAUCAAAAAAAAUAUUUUAAAAGUAACAGAUUUUCGAAUAUUGAAGUACCAUUUUUUUAUGAACAGCAGCCAAAAUUGUAAGGAGAUUUGUAUGGGUAAACCAAUGACACAAAAUGGCUUUUUUUGUGAUAGGGAAGGCCCCCACCAGGUUUGAGCCAAACCAAAAAAUAUUAGUAAAAUCCAUUUCCGGGUUUGCUUGAGAAUUGCUCAAAUGUGUUUAAGUUUUUUGCCUUCCUCACUGAGGUAAGGCUAUAAUCCUGCUCUAAAAAACAACUUUUUAAUAAAAGCUCGAAGACCCACCUUCAUGUAUACAUAUCGACUCAGAAUUGAAAACUGAACAAAUGUCUGUGUGUGUGUAUGUGUGUGUGUAUGUGUGUAUGUAUGUAUGUGACCAAAAUUCUCACUGAGUUUUCUCAGCACUGGCUGAACCGAUUUUGAUCAAACCAGUUGCAUUCGACUUGGUUUAGGGUCCCAUACAUCGCUAUUGAAUUGUUUGAAGUUUUGAUAAGUAGUUCAAAAGUUAUGUAUAAAAAUGUGUUUUCACAUAUAUCCGGAUCUCACUUUUAUGCAUGUAAACGAUGUCUUGAUCCAUCAUCCAACACAUCGUUGAUUAGGUAAUCGAAAGACCUUUCCAACGAGUCCAAAACAUUGAAGAUCUGGCAACCCUGCCUCGAGUUAUGACCACUUAAGUACUUUUUAUGUACUUUUUUGAAGCUGGAUCUCGCUUAAAUGUAUGUAAACGAUGUCCGGAUCCAUCAUCCAACCCAUUGUUGGUUGGAUAAUUGAAAGACCUUUCCAACGAGCUUAAAACAUUCCAGAUCUGGCAACCCUGCCUCGAGUUAUGACCACUUAAGUGCUAUUUAUAUACUUUUUUUAAGCUGGAUCUCGCAUAAAUGUAUGUAAACAAUGUCCAGAUCCACCAUCCAAACCAUAGUUGGUUAGGUUAUUGAACAACCUUUCCAACGAGUCCAAAACAUUGAAGAUCUAGCAACCCUGUCUCGAGACAUUUCCACUUAAGUGCUAUUUAUGCACUUUUUUCAAGCCAGAUCUCACCUAAAUGUUUGUAAACGAUGUCCGGAUCCAUCAUUCGACCCAUCGUUGGUUAGGUAAUCGAGAAACCUUUUCGACGAGUCCACAACACUUAAGAUCUGGCAACCCUGUCUCGAGUUAUGACCACUUAAGUGAUAUUUAUGUACUUUUUUGAAGCCGGAUCUCACUUAAAUGUAUGUAAACAAUGUCCGGAUCUAUCAUCUGAUCCAUCAUUGGUUAGGUAAUCGAGAGACCUUUCCAACGAGCUCACAACAUUGAAGAUCUGGCAACCCUGUCUCGAGUUAUGACCACUAAAAUGAUAUUGAUGUUCUUUUUGGAAGCCGGAUCUCACUUAUGUGUAUGAAAACAUUGUCCAGAUCAACAAUCCGACAUAUCAUUGGAUAGCUAUUCAAAAUACCUUCCAAACGAGUCCAAAAUAUUAAUUGUCUGGCAACCCUGUAUCAAGUUUUGACGACUUAAGUCAGUAUUUUGGUUUAUUGGUAAUUGUUUCCUUACCAAUAACCAAGUUUGAUAAUAAAUAUCAAUCAUUUCCUGAUCUUUUGCGUAACGAGAUCUUCUGGUAACGAGUGAGGAAGGCACCAACCACAUAGGUGGAUUAAGUUAGUUUUUUAAUUGUUUCUGUCCGAAUUGUCGACUUAUAAAAUGUUAAAAAAUGAAAAGAAUGUAUGCAGAUUUUUAAACAAAGAUGGCGUAAAGAAUGGUGCACGCCCGAAAUGUCAAAAUCACGCAAUGGGACCAACAUUACAAAAAAAAAGUGUGCCAUGGCAUGACAACCACACUUUUUUGGUACCACUGAGCGAUUUUGACAUUCCGGGCGUGCACCAUUCGUUACGCCAUCUUCGCUUAAAAUCUGGAUACUAUUAAUGAUCAAUUCUACACUAACAUUUCAUAUAGCGCUACGUCUCAGACAAAAGCUAUGUACAUGGUUCUGUUGACAUUCUCAGGAAGAAGUGGAAGGCUUUGCGCGAUAUUUACCGACGUGAAUUGCAGAAAAUCCCAGAAGCACGGUCUGGAGACGCCGCGGACGGAGACCAAAAUUAUUCGACCUGGGCCCACUUUAAAAG